rnacentral:rRNA from 1 species
AUUGAACGCUGGCGGCAUGCCUUACACAUGCAAGUCGAACGGCAGCACGGGUGCUUGCACCUGGUGGCGAGUGGCGAACGGGUGAGUAAUAUAUCGGAACGUACCUUAUUGUGGGGGAUAACGCAGCGAAAGCUGUGCUAAUACCGCAUAAUCCCUAAGGGGGAAAGCGGGGGACCGUAAGGCCUCGCGCAAUUAGAGCGGCCGAUACCUGAUUAGCUAGUUGGUGAGGUAAAGGCUCACCAAGGCAACGAUCAGUAGCUGGGCUGAGAGGACGAUCAGCCACACUGGGACUGAGACACGGCCCAGACUCCUACGGGGGGCAGCAGUGGGGAAUUUUGGACAAUGGGGGCAACCCUGAUCCAGCAAUGCCGCGUGAGUGAAGAAGGCCUUCGGGUUGUAAAGCUCUUUUGUCAGGGAAGAAACAGCAGCUCUAACACAGUAUGCGAAUGACGGUACCUGAAGAAUAAGCACCGGCUAACUACGUGCCAGCCGCCGCGGUAAAAC